UACGUAGGUGGCAAGCGUUGUCCGGAUUUAUUGGGCGUAAAGCGCGCGCAGGUGGUUUCUUAAGUCUGAUGUGAAAGCCCACGGCUCAACCGUGGAGGGUCAUUGGAAACUGGGAGACUUGAGUGCAGAAGAGGAUAGUGGAAUUCCAAGUGUAGCGGUGAAAUGCGUAGAGAUUUGGAGGAACACCAGUGGCGAAGGCGACUGUCUGGUCUGUAACUGACACUGAGGCGCGAAAGCGUGGGGAGCAACAGAGUAGUACCGUGUACGUC
rnacentral:rRNA from 1 species